CCCCGUUGGAUUUGGAUUCUGGAUAAGCAACAAAUGCUUUUCCCCGGCAUCAGAUCCCCAUGCAGUAUUUGGGACAUAUUUGUGCUAAAAUGAAUACGGGACGUGUUGCUGAAAGUCAAAGUGA
rnacentral:miRNA from 1 species